rnacentral:rRNA from 1 species
UUAGGAAUCUUGGGCAAUGGGCGAAAGCCUGACCCAGCCAUGCCGCGUGUGUGAAGAAGGCCUUCGGGUUGUAAAGCACUUUCAGCGGUGAAGAAAAGCCCGGGGCUAAUACCCCUCGGGUCUUGACGUUAACCACAGAAGAAGCACCGGCUAACUCCGUGCCAGCAGCCGCGGUAAUACGGAGGGUGCGAACGUUAAUCGGAAUCACUGGGCGUAAAGCGCGCGUAGGCGGUUCGUUAAGUGGGAUGUGAAAUCCCCGGGCUUAACCUGGGAAUUGCAUUUCAAACUGGCGGACUAGAGUGCGGUAGAGGGAGGUAGAAUUUCCUGUGUAGCGGUGAAAUGCGUAGAUAUAGGAAGGAAUACCAGUGGCGAAGGCGGCCUCCUGGAUCGACACUGACGCUGAGGCGCGAAAGCGUGGGGAGCAAACAGGAUUAGAUACCCCCGUAGUCC